ACGGAAGGCAGCAGUGGGGAAUAUUGGGCAAUGGGCGAAAGCCUGACCCAGCAACGCCGCGUGAAGGAAGAAGGUUUUCGGAUUGUAAACUUCUGUCCUUGGUGACGAAGGAAGUGACGGUACCUGCAGAAGAAGUCACGGCUAACUACGUGCCAGCAGCCGCGGUAAUACGUAGGUGGCGAGCGUUAUCCGGAAUUACUGGGUGUAAAGGGUGUGUAGGCGGAGAAGCAAGUCAGGCGUGAAAUUUAUGGGCUCAACCCAUAAACUGCGCUUGAAACUGUUUCCCUUGAGAGUGGGAGAGGUAAACGGAAUUCCUGGUGUAGUAGUGAAAUGCGUAGAUAUCAGGAGGAACACCGGUGGCGAAGGCGGUUUACUGGAUCACAACUGACGCUGAGACACGAAAGCGUGGGGAGCAAACAGGAUUAGAUACCCUGGUA
rnacentral:rRNA from 1 species